CAGAAUGACAUUCACUCAAUCUGUUGCAAGCAAUGACUUUCAAACAGCAAGUGUUAAAGAGGCCAAACACGCGGAACACAAGUCCAACGCUGAAAAUUCUGGAAAAGAACAAUUGAAAAAAGAUACAGCCUUUAAACAUCUAAACAUGUCCUCCAAAAAGGAAAAAGGGAAAAACACUGGAAAACAAUUUCAGCCUAAGGUUUGAGAUGGCUAACUGUGUACAUUGCCUUUGUGUACUGCAAGCUGAACUUACAGAUUUAUAUGGACUUUACUUACAGGUUUCCUGUGCUGUUUUGCUCCAUUUUACAGAACAAAAUAAGGCUGAGGUAGCACCAUCCUUGUGGUUAGAGUGAAAGAAUGUGGGUAUUGAGACCAAAAUAAAUAAUGUGCCAUUCUGGACAAACAGCUGUGGACAAUACAAGCAGUCAGAGUAGCCCAUUUUCUCACACAGAUGAGGAGCAACCAGUAAGAAAAAGCAAAAAGAUGUUUUGAUGUUGCCUGAGGCACCUUAUUCACAUCAGUCAAUUUCUUCCAAUAAUGAAUCAAGAAAUCCUGGAGUGGAGAAUCAUUCUGAAAGUAGACCAAAUACAGGACAACACCACAGCAGUGGUUGGAAAAAUGCAGCAGACAAUGAGCAAACCAAGCUGACUUUCAAAAGAUGAUUCGUUAUCUGUUUCUUCAAAGGGGAGGCAGUUUGGGAGAUGGGAAAUAGGAGGAUGCUUCAGCUACACAGGGCGAAUUUCAGCAGCUCAGUUUCACACUUGCAACUAACAAUGAAUUAUAGUUAGAAGACAACGGAAAUAUUUGACAUGGGAGUCCAGCAGACAGCCAGAGAAACGCACACACACGGAGCUGAAGCGCGUUUGACUGACGCGUACGGGAGAUCAGGCACGCGCACGGGAGCUCGCUCGCGCACGCACACACAAACACGGAGCACAGGAAAAUUACACCUGUUCAAUUAAAAUAAAAGAACUUUGUGGUAAACAAUGUUUAGCGUGUCUGAUUUCAUUGGUUGUAAUGAAAUAAAACGAUGUGCUGAGGACUUUAGGCGAACGUCCCCUAAAAGUCCCGAAAGUCCGCUGACCGUCCUGCAAACGUCCUUGUGAAAGUCCGGAGGACGUCUUCGCGGACGUCCGCUCGACGUAACAGGGGACCCUACACGAUAACGUCCAGGGGACGUUCGCAGAGGACAUUUAGGGGACGUCCAGGGGACCUUUUUUUGUUAGCUG